ACUCCUACGGGAGGCAGCAGUGGGGAAUCUUAGACAAUGGGCGCAAGCCUGAUCUAGCCGAUGCCGCGUGAUCGAUGAAGGCCUUAGGGUUGUAAAGAUCUUUCAGAAUGGGAAGUAAUGACGGUACCAUCAGAAGAAAGCCCCGGCUUAACUCCGUGCCAGCAGCCGCGGUAAUACGGAGGGGCUAGCGUUAUUCGGAAAUUUACUGGGCGUAAAGCGCACGUAGGCGGAUCAGAAAGUCAGAGGUGAAAUCCCA
rnacentral:rRNA from 1 species